GACGAACGCUGGCGGCGUGCCUAAUACAUGCAAGUCGAACGCAGUGGGGACGGGUGAGUAACACGUGGGUAACCUCCCAUCAGAGUGGAUAACCCUUGGAAACAGGUGCUAAACCGAUACUGAUGGAUGAACCCGCGGUGCAUUAGCUAGUCGGUGAGGUAACGGCUCACCAAGGCCACGAUGCAGCGCCGAUCAGAGUGGGUGUGCGGGCACACUGGGAUGUAUAAACGGCCUGUACUGCUACGGGAGGCAUAAUAGGGGAAUCUUCGGCAAGUGGAGCAAGUCUGACCGAGCACUGCCGCGUGAGUGACGAAGGUUUUCGGUUAGUAAAAUUCUGUUGUUAGAGAAGCGGUAUCUAACCAGAAAGCCACGGCUAACUACGUGCCAGCAGCCGCGGUAAUUC
rnacentral:rRNA from 1 species